UACAGGGGGGGCAAGCGUUGUUCGGAAUUAUUGGGCGUAAAGGGCUCGUAGGCGGUUUGUCGCGUCGGGAGUGAAAACUCAGGGCUUAACCCUGAGCCUGCUUCCGAUACGGGCAGACUAGAGGUAUGCAGGGGAGAACGGAAUUCCUGGUGUAGCGGUGAAAUGCGCAGAUAUCAGGAGGAACACCGGUGGCGAAGGCGGUUCUCUGGGCAUUACCUGACGCUGAGGAGCGAAAGUGUGGGGAGCGAACAGG
rnacentral:rRNA from 1 species